UUGUUGGUUGUUGAAAAUAAAGCAGUGUGUGUGUGUGCGAGGACAGAAAAUAAGAUGAUGCUCUUUCCUGAUGUGUUUGUUCUUCUUGUCUUCUUGAUGCUGCUGUUGGUGUUGGUGUUUCAGUUGCUCAAGGAAAUUUAGUGAAAGGCGACAUCCAAGGAAACUGCCAACAGUACCCUUUGGUUUGAAGGUGUUGCAGACAGAGAUUGGAACAAGUGAAGGAAGGAUCUGUUAUGUUAUGUUGAAGUGUCAAUGCACAAUUUUUUGUUAUCACUGUUAGCGGUCCCUAUGCUAUACAAAGCUGAAACUGACAGAGAACCACAAAAAAAGAAUGAAGAAAAGCUAAGCCGAAUGACUUACCCAAACUUGUACUGAUAGACUCUGCCGCGCUGCCUGCAAUUGUACCCCUUUUAAGAGUCAAAGCUAUAUAUGAAGGCCCAAAGGAACCAUGGUGAAUGAAAAUUGGGUUUCCGAGCCCUUUACAGUUGUGGGUUAAUGUUAUAACAUUGCAAAAGCCUGGUAAUAACAAGCUAUUUGCCUGUUUAACAUUCCAUCCUUGUUGAGGUCCAAAUACGUAGUAGUUUGAAUUUUGAAAACAAUUUAUGGAA